UUUUCAGUUCAACAACGCUGUGCAGGCUGAGUCGAUGAUUCAGCAGGUGGCUUACAAUCUGGCUAUAGCCGAAGAGCAGCUGCAGUUCGAACAUCGCGAUCUGCACUGGGGCAACGUUUUACUGAAAGAAGUGCCCA
rnacentral:lncRNA from 1 species